CAGCUAGUUGGUAGGGUAACGGCCUACCAAGGCAACGAUGGGUAGCUGGUGUGAGAGCACGACCAGCCACACGGGCACUGAGACACGGGCCCGACUCCUACGGGAGGCAGCAGUGAGGAAUAUUGGUCAAUGGACGCAAGUCUGAACCAGCCAUGCCGCGUGAAGGAUGAAGGCCUUCUGGGUUGUAAACUUCUUUUAUGAGGGAAGAAAACUGGGGUUUCUACUCCAGCCGACGGUACCUUAGGAAUAAGCACCGGCUAACUCCGUGCCAGCAGCCGCGGUAAUACGGAGGGUGCAAGCGUUAUCCGGAUUUACUGGGUUUAAAGGGUGUGUAGGCGGGCUGUUAAGUCAGUGGUGAAAUCUCCGGGCUCAACCCGGAAACUGCCAUUGAUACUAAUGGUCUUGAAUUUUGUUGAGGUAGGCGGAAUAAGUCAUGUAGCGGUGAAAUGCAUAGAUAUGACUUAGAACACCAAUUGCGAAGGCAGCUUGCUAAACAA
rnacentral:rRNA from 1 species